CCUACGGGGGGCUGCAGUGGGGAAUAUUGGACAAUGGGGGCAACCCUGAUCCAGCCAUGCCGCGUGUGUGAAGAAGGCCCUCGGGUUGUAAAGCACUUUCAGUGAGGAAGAACGCCUGGUGGUUAAUACCCAUCAGGAAAGACAUCACUCACAGAAGAAGCACCGGCUAACUCCGUGCCAGCAGCCGCGGUAAUACGGAGGGUGCGAGCGUUAAUCGGAAUUACUGGGCGUAAAGCGCGCGUAGGUGGCUUGAUAAGCCGGUUGGGAAAGCCCCGGGCUCAACCUGGGAACGGCAUCCGGAACUGUCAAGCUUGAGUGCAGGAGAGGAAGGUAGAAUUCCCGGUGUAGCGGUGAAAUGCGUAGAGAUCGGGAGGAAUACCAGUGGCGAAGGCGGCCCUCUGGACUGAAACUGACACUGAGGUGCGAAAGCGUGGGUAGCAAACAGGAUUAGAUACCCGGGUAGUC
rnacentral:rRNA from 1 species